UAACUGGAGGGCUUCUCCUGUCCUUGC
rnacentral:sRNA from 1 species